rnacentral:lncRNA from 1 species
GGGACGCGGGUGGUGCUGUGGGUAGAACCUCAGCGCCUAGGGCUUGCCGAUCGCAUGGUCGGCGGUUCGAAUCCCCGCGGCGGGGUGAGCUCCCGUCUUUCGGUCCCAGCUCCUGCCCACCUAGCAGUUCAAAAGCACCCCUAAGUGCAAGUAGAUAAAUAGGUACCGCUUUAUAGCGGGAAGGUAAACGGCGUUUCCGUGUGCUGCGCUGGUGCCGGCUCGCCAGAGCAGCCUCGUCACGCUGGCCACGUGACCCGGAAGUGUCUCCGGACAGUGCUGGCUCCAGGCCUCUUAAGUGAGAUGGGCGCACAACCCUAGAGUCGGACACGACUGGCCCGUACGGGCAGGGGCACCUUUACCUUUACCUAUCUUUGCUGGAACAGCUGAGGGAUUCUGACACAAAAUGUGCAACUCUCAAUGGAGGCCAGCUAGGCCUCUGUAACAUGGGCAACUCAGUGGUCAGGCCAGGACAUAAGGGCUAAAGUGGUCCUUACAGCAUCCUGAACCCAAGCUGAUAAGAGCUUUGUAUGAUCUGUCUCUGUUACCAAGACUAAACUGCUAACCGGCUGUUUUUAACUUUAUUCACUGGUUUGCCAGUAUCCCAAAGGAUCAAAGCACGAGUACCAUGAGCCCAAAACCCAAUAAUGGAUGACCAGCUGAAUCUCAAGGGGAUUUCCAGAGUCCAUUGUGCUAUGUCUGCAUUGGCUUGACUGCAUUGGCGCUCCGUUUCCAAACUCAUUUCAAAGUACUGUUUUUGAGCUUUAAAGCUGCCUGCACCUCAGGACCCCAGUACCUCAAGGAUUGCCUGUCCCCACAUGACCAUCAUCAGAGUCUCUUCUCCGUGAGCCUCCUGUGAGGGAAGUGAGGUGAGUGGCAGCCUGAGAACCUGCUCUUUCAGGAAUGGCUCCCCAUUUGUGGAAUGCUCUCCCCCUGGGAAGCAUGUGUGAUGCCAUCAUUAUUCUAUAACCAGACCCUUGGCUGCUAAAUAAUCUAUGGCCUUUUAAAUGUGUUUGUGGGAGGAGGUUUUUUUUGGGGGUGUUCUUAUUAUGAUAUGCAUUUUGUGUUUUUCCAUUUUGUAUUUUACUGCUGAAAACCGCCCUGUGAUCUUCGGAUGACAGGCAGUGUAUGAAUUUUAAUCACCAUCAUCAUCAUCAGCUUUUAGGCACCAGACUUAAGGCGUCUCUGUUUGCUCCAGCUUCUAGUCAUUAAUUUAGAUUGCACUGAGUUGUGAUUUCUGGCCAGCUAUGUGGUGGUCAUCUUUUUAAUGGAGUGGCGUAGGAUUUGUCCUUUUUAUAGUUAUUGGUGGACGAGCACUUCUAGGAAUUUUGUUCUGUUCUCUUCUCCUACCCCAAGAAACACCUAUGACAGCAGGGACCAAAAGGAAGACCAAACUGAACCUAAAGUUGCCUUGGCAGUUUAGUUAAGCGUGGCAACUUUUCAAGUUGUUAGCACUUAAGUGUCUUUGCAAGGAAGGAGGAUGGGGAGAAAACCAGAACAACUUGGCCACACCCAUGGAACCUCCUAGCAGCCUCACCAGGUCUAGUGCUUCCAUUCACACUACUAAGGUUGCAGGAGGGAUCUCUCCGCAGCAUGGCUUGCCAUAAACCACAAGGGCUGCAACCCGAUGGAGAACCAGACAUCUCCCAGUCAUUUGCAGAAGCCAUUGGGCUGUGAAAUCCUUUAUGGAGCUGAGCCUAUAUAUUUGUACCCGCACAUAGUAUACUUUUACUUCAGUUGACUUAUUUAUAUUUUUUUAACAAAAAUUAAAUGCUGUCUUCCCAACAUCUGUCAAAAGCAGCUUAAAACACAUCUAUAAUAAUUAAAUUCAUAUUUAGGAAAAAUUACAUAUUCAGCCAAUUAAAAAUAUCUAUCCUUCUAGCAGAUGCCAAUUGGUGUUACAUUUCUGAUCAAUUUUAGACAGAGUCAAUACAUUGCCAAGCACACCCCCAGUCUCUGAGUAGUGAAUUUUUUCAUGGGAGCUUGCAAGUGCCUUGGGUUUAGUUUCUAUAGUAUGAAGGCUGGUAGUGAUUGUAGUGUUUCUGUGAUAUGGUUUUGUUUAGCGCGCGCGCACACACACACACACACACUGUAGACUGAGCAUAAUAUGGAAGGGCUCUCAACAUUAACAAAGCCAACAGAUCUUACUAUUCUCCCAUUAGGUUUCUAGGGGAGCUUUCAGACUCUUAGUACUAGAUCCUCACAGAGAGAGAAAUCAAGUCUCUCUGUCUUUCCAACUCCCAGUUACUAGCCUGACUGGUUCUUUUGUUCUUCUGCACACUCAGUCCCACACCUUGAUGGCAUCACCUCCAGCCAGGUGAGAGAGGGGAGAAUACCUUCCUGCCUAAGCUCACCUCCUGGAAAGAUUUCCAGCUAUUUUCUGCGGAACAGUUUAGCCCAAGCAUAACAUAACAACAUCUGAUACUUCACAGACUUGGCUAUAGCUAUUAACACAGAACAUAGAACAUAGAAUCAUAGAGUUGGAAGAGACCACAAGGGCCAUCGAGUCCAACCCCGUGCCAAGCAGGAAACACCAUCAGAGCACUCCUGACAUAUGGUUGUCAAACCUCUGCUUAAAGACCUCCAAAGAAGGAGAUUCCACCACACUCCUUGGCAGCAAAUUCCACUGUCGAACAGCUCUUACUGUCAGGAAGUUCUUCCUAAUGUUUAGGUGGAAUCUUCUUUCUUGUAGUUUGGAUCCAUUGCUCUGUGUCCGCUUCUCUGGAGCAGCAGAAAACAACCUUUCUCCCUCCUCUAUGUGACAUCCUUUUAUAUAUUUGAACAUGGCUAUCAUAUCACCCCUUAACCUCCUCUUCUCCAGGCUAAACAUGCCCAGCUCCCUUAGCCGUUCCUCAUAAGGCAUCAUUUCCAGGCCUUUGACCAUUUUGGUUGCCCUCCUCUGGACACGGUCCAGUUUGUCAGUGUGCUUCUUGAACUGUGGUGCCCAGAACUGGACACAGUACUCCAGGUGAGGUCUGACCAGAGCAGAAUACAGUGGCACUAUUACUUCCCUUGAUCUAGAUGCUAUACUCCUAUUGAUGCAGCCCAGAAUUGCAUUGGCUUUUUUAGCUGCCGCAUCGCACUGUUGGCUCAUGUCAAGUUUGUGGUCAACCAAGACUCCUAGAUCCUUUUCACAUGUACUGCUCUCAAGCCAGGUGUCACCCAUCUUGUAUUUGUGCCUCUCAUUUUUUUUUGCCCAAGUGCAAUACUUUACAUUUCUCCCUGUUAAAAUUCAUCUUGUUUGUUUUUGCCCAGUUCUCUAAUCUGUCAAGGUCGUUUUGAAGUGUGAUCCUGUCCUCUGGGGUGUUAGCCACCCCUCCCAGUUUGGUGUCAUCUGCAAAUUUGAUCAGGAUGCCCUUGAGUCCAUCAUCCAAGUCGUUGAUAAAGAUGUUGAAUAAGACCGGGCCCAAGACAGAACCCUGUGGCACCCCACUAGUCACUCUUCUCCAGGAUGAAGAGGAACCAUUGAUGAGCACCCUUUGGGUUCGGUCAGUCAGCCAGUUACAAAUCCACUGAGUGGUAGCAUAGUCAAGACCGCAUUUUACCAGCUUCUUUACAAGAAUAUCAUGGGGCACCUUGUCAAAUGCCUUGCUGAAAUCAAGGUAGGCUACAUCCACUGCGUUCCCUUCAUCUACGUCACAGACAGACUGGUUCAACCACUUUUCACGGUCUCUUUUUCUGCAGAAUCCACUCUUGCAGCAGCUACAAGAUCACAGGAAUGGAGGGGAAUCCUGAGAGCACAACCAAACUAACCCCUAGUCAUAGAAUCAUAAAUAUGUAGAGUUGGGAGGGAUCCCAAGGGUGAUCGAAUCCAACCCCCUGCUGUGAAGGGACCUCAACUAAACCAUACAUGACUAGUGGCCAUCCAACUUCUGCUUAAAAACCUACAGCAACUUUAAAAAAAAACUCAAAACCUACACCACAUCUUUUUUGCUGGGUUAAGAUGGAUUUCAAGGUCUUAGGUUAAAUAUUUUUCUGUGGGGAAAAUACUGGUGUUAAACGCACCAAGUAAUUGUAAUGUUCAAAGCUGCCUCUUAACACUCCAGCUGUGCACUGCAUCAAAUGAAUUGACAUGGGGAAAACAGGAGACAUUCACAGAAUAUUUAGGUCUGGGAACAUGAAUUCUGUUGCCCACCAAAAAAAAGGCAAAAAGCUGAUGUACUCAUUUCUCCUGUCCAGCCACAUUCCGGUCUAACAAUCGCUUGAUGCUAUUGAGUCCUUAAGAGAGGAGGUAUUAUGUUUUAUCAGGCAUAAACAUUGUGCUCUGAGCACUUGGGAAAUGUGAUAGCCCUGCAGCAGAAGCACAAAGGUGAGGAUUUGGAGCUUUAAUUGCACAAUCAAUAGUUUAGAUUCAAGAGCCUCCAUAAAAGGAUGUCUGAUGAAAUAUUGCAGUUCAGAAAUAAGUUCCUGAAUCCAGUAUUGAUACUGCGAUAUUGCGUUUAUUACCGUACAGAACACAGAAAUCAUGUGGCCUGUUCCAGCAGCGCGAAGAAAUUUGGUUCAGUUCGCCUUUUGAUGCAAACCUACCUAGUUUCCAAAAUUCACCCUUCUCCUGAUUUUGCAAUGCAGUUCUCCAACCAGAAAAUAUGGACAGAUGCAUAUAUUUGGGGGAAAUGUGUGUAAAAAUGAAUAUUAGUGAAAACGGCAUGAGCCCAUUGCUGU